GUCAGGAGUUAUAGGAGGGAGUUGUGCUGUUGGAGGAAUGAAGCAGUACAAAUCCAUAUCAGGUGUAAGGAAGGAGGCCCUGAGGAACAGACACCCCAGUGGAAUGAUGGUUCAAUGUGAUGAACAGUGUUGGGAGUGAAGAGAAAGGUCACCAUCAAAAAGAGCGUAGACACCAUUAAAGGUGUUCUUUUCCUCAAAGUAAAUAUUAACAGCUGUUCAGUGGUUCAUUCAGAACACUAAAGUUACUGUAAAAACGUCUUCCAUUCUGAAAAGCAUGCACGUCGUUGAGUCAGAAGCUGGCAGUAGUUUUACCAGCAUAUUUUAUAAAAAAGGGUAGUUUUUCUCUUGUAUGAACAUUUUGCAACCCUUAAAAAGCUCUACAAAA